AUGGCCGAGAUCGACGAGAAUUCCCUCCGCAAUAACAACAGCAGCACCAAUACCAAGACCCAGAAGAAAUCGACUGAGAUUACUGUCGCCACCCCGACCCGGAAGACCACGGAGCGCGCAAAGGAGCAGAGUUCUCAGAAAGAGAAGGCGGAGGAGACCAUGGUUGCGGUGUCAGAGACUAGAGCGCCUUCGUCCAAGACCACCGAGACGCGCACGGUGAGCAUCGUGGCCGAGACCCCAGGACGGAGGUCAGGCCGCCGUUCGCGCCGGGCGUCGCGCGACUUCGACCAGAACCCCGGCUUGUACGCCAGCCAUCUCCUCGAGGACAUCCAGAACUACCACACCUCCGCUACGGCCACCCCCGGAACGCCGCCAUCCUUCACGCUACCGGCCUGCGUCUCCAAGGCGCAGUCCAUCGUCGACGCCGUCGCCGACCUCAACUCCUCAUCGUCAGAGAGCCGCACCUGCGAGCCCGAUCGGAGCGUCGACGACAAGGCCUCUGUCAACGCGGCGGCCGGCGGGGAUGACCUUGACGCGCCGAGCGUGCACAGGUACGUGUCGGUGCGGGACAUCCGUGGCCGCGGGGAGAUGGAGCUGCAGGAGUCCGCGGGGAGCAACAGCCUCUCCGGCAACCUGUGGACGCCGUCGUGCGAGUCCACGGACCGGACGUGGAGCGGCUCGCGGUCGUCGAACAACGGCGACGAGGUCGUCGAGCAGGUCCCUAGCCACCACAGUGGCGCGCGCAGCCCGGUGAACCGGCCCAGGCAGAGCAAGCAGAGGGCGGCUGCGCAGCUGGAGCCAAGCGGCCGGUCGCGCACCGGCAACUCCGGCGUCAAUGCUCACCGUGGACGCAGCGCUCACCGCGGCAGCGGCAGCGUGGCGAGCGGCCGAUCGGGCGUCCGUGGCGUCUCGGCGAGCACGUAG
rnacentral:rRNA from 1 species